rnacentral:rRNA from 1 species
GGUAGCUUGCUACCAGGCGUCGAGCGGCGGACGGGUGAGUAAUACUUAGGAAUCUACCUAGUAGUGGGGGAUAGCACGGGGAAACUCGUAUUAAUACCGCAUACGACCUACGGGAGAAAGGGGGCAGUUUACUGCUCUCGCUAUUAGAUGAGCCUAAGUCGGAUUAGCUAGAUGGUGGGGUAAAGGCCUACCAUGGCGACGAUCUGUAGCUGGUCUGAGAGGAUGAUCAGCCACACCGGGACUGAGACACGGCCCGGACUCCUACGGGAGGCAGCAGUGGGGAAUAUUGGACAAUGGGGGAAACCCUGAUCCAGCCAUGCCGCGUGUGUGAAGAAGGCCUUUUGGUUGUAAAGCACUUUAAGCAGUGAAGAAGACUCUUCGGUUAAUACCCGGAGACGAUGACAUUAGCUGCAGAAUAAGCACCGGCUAACUCUGUGCCAGCAGCCGCGGUAAUACAGAGGGUGCAAGCGUUAAUCGGAAUUACUGGGCGUAAAGCGAGCGUAGGUGGCUUGAUAAGUCAGAUGUGAAAUCCCCGGGCUUAACCUGGGAACUGCAUCUGAAACUGUUAGGCUAGAGUAGGUGAGAGGGAAGUAGAAUUUCAGGUGUAGCGGUGAAAUGCGUAGAGAUCUGAAGGAAUACCGAUGGCGAAGGCAGCUUCCUGGCAUCAUACUGACACUGAGGCUCGAAAGCGUGGGUAGCAAACAGGAUUAGAUACCCUGGUAGUCCACGCCGUAAACGAUGUCUACUAGUCGUUGGGUCCCUUGAGGACUUAGUGACGCAGCUAACGCAAUAAGUAGACCGCCUGGGGAGUACGGC